rnacentral:rRNA from 1 species
GACGAACGCUGGCGGCGUGCUUAAUACAUGCAAGUCGAACGGAGCCUAGCUGGUGGUUUACUACCGGCGAAAGCUUAGUGGCGGACGGGUGAGUAACGCGUGGGUAAUCUGCCCCUAAGUCCGGGAUAACAGAGCGAAAGUUCUGCUAAUACCGGAUACUCUUCCCGGGUCGCAUGGUCUGGGAAGGAAAGGUUUACUGCUUAGGGAUGAGCCCGCGUCCCAUUAGCUAGUUGGUGAGGUAAGGGCUCACCAAGGCCACGAUGGGUAGCCGGCUUGAGAGAGUGACCGGCCACACUGGAACUGAGACACGGUCCAGACUCCUACGGGAGGCAGCAGUGGGGAAUAUUGCACAAUGGGCGAAAGCCUGAUGCAGCGACGCCGCGUGAGCGAAGAAGGCCUUCGGGUCGUAAAGCUCUGUCCUAUGGGAAGAUAAUGACGGUACCAUAGGAGGAAGCCCCGGCUAACUACGUGCCAGCAGCCGCGGUAAUACGUAGGGGGCGAGCGUUGUCCGGAAUGACUGGGCGUAAAGGGUGCGUAGGCGGCCAGGUAAGUCAGAUGUGAAAGGCAUAGGCUCAACCUAUGUA